UAGUGCUGCAAUGAAACACCGUCACCAUAAACAGCUUGAAGAGGAAAGGGUUCAUUUCAGGUUAAGACUCUCAUGGCCACACUCCGUCACCCAGAGAAGUCGGGGCAGGAAUUCAAAUCAAGAACCGUGGAGGCAGGACCUUUGGAAGAAUGCUGCUCACUGCUUGCUCUCCGGGCCUGCUCAGUCACCUGCCUGGGACGGUGUCAAUCAAAGAACUGCUCUACAGAGUUGCUUACAGGUUUUUAAGCAGCACUUUCCCAAAUUAUUUUAGCAAAUUAGCAGUUUGGAGUCUCACGCUCCGCCUCGGCGAUCCAUGCCAACCUCACCCAGCUCAGAGGCUGUCUUUUGGCUGCAGACAGUGCAGUGUGUCUUCCUGCUGACGUCUGGCCAAAGGAGUCUGGUUAACUGAGGAGCUGCCCGGGCACCGAGGAGGAGGAGCUGGAAUGACCACGAUGCAAGAAUAAGGAGCAGCUAAGAAGGACCCAGGACGCUGUGGCGCCCUUCUGAAGGGUGGCAAAACAAGCAGACUUCCUGCAGCGUGAGGGUGACGUUCACUCGCCAUCUAUGACCCUCAGUGCAUGAAGGAAGGGCCUGUUUUUUGUUUGUUUGUUUGUUUGUUUUUGAGACAAGGUGUCGCUACUCCUGGCUGGCCUGGAACUCACAGAACUGGCCUCCUCUUGCAGCUACCCUCUGCCUCCUGAGUGAAGGAAUUACAACUACCUGCCACCUCCACAACUGGCUAUGUACAUAAUUGAGAUAAAGCAUUUUUUUUUUUUUGUUUUUUGAAACAGAAGCCAUGCCGUUGUAACUAA